AGUCCGAGUGGAGAGAGCGAGCUGAGUGGUUGUGUGGUCGCGUCUCGGAAACCGGUAGCGCUUGCAGCAUGGCUGACCAACUGACUGAAGAGCAGAUUGCAGAAACCAGCCCAAAAGACUUCCUCUUUUGAAAGAGAAGGAUGGUGGAGAAUAGCAUUAACAGAUACUCCUAUACCUGGCACUUACCACUUGAAAACUUUUAUUGAAGAAUCCCUAUUAAAUCCAGUGAUAGCAACCUACAAUUUUAAAAACGAAGGAAGGAAAAAGCCACCUCUUGUGCAAAGAAACAAUCCAGUCCUAAAUGAUCUUCCGCAGUAUAUGCCUCCUGACUUCCUGGACCUGUUAAAGAAGCAAGUGGCUACUUACUCAUUCAAAGACAAACCACGGCCAAGCCCCAGCACACUAGUUGACAAAGAUCAGUCACUUCAGCUUUCUCCGGGGCAAUACAACGUGCUUCCUGCACCAGUUCCCAAAUAUGCUUCCAGGAGCUGUGUAUUUCGCUCAACAGUUCAAAGAUUCCCAACAACCUAUUUUAUUCCCAUCUACCCCCACCCCCACCGCACAGGUGCCUGAUGCCUUAAAUUCCCCAGCUUUUCUUGUGUUCUGUGGAGCAAAUCAGCUUGCUUCUCCUUCGCAAGUCCUCUGCAAGGAUUUACGCUUCUGCCUUCUCUACACUGCCAGCAUGAAGGCCCUGGUCCAGGUCAUUAUAAUGUGAAAAUGCCUCCAACAAGCUCUGUCACUUCUUGUUUUCAAUCCAGAGUCCCUCGAUUCUUGCCCAGCUGUUCAGGGCAUUUGGGGAGAGAAGAAGCUGGGUCACAUGCCAGGAAUGCUUCAGUAACUGCAUCCCAGGAAUUACCAAAUUAGCCAAAGCUCAUGCAGAGCCAUCUCCCCACUACUGCUGGGGUGCCUGACAGGGAGAGGUUCUGGAGAGCCUGGAGCUCCCUCACCAAGAAGAAAGCAUGAGGAGGGGAGGGGCUGGGGAA
rnacentral:lncRNA from 1 species